rnacentral:rRNA from 1 species
UGCUAAGACUGGAUAGGAAAUUAAGAGGCAUCUUUUAAUUUUUAAAAGACCUUUUUCGAAAGGUAUACUUAAAGAGGGGCUUGCGCCACAUUAGUUAGUUGGUAAGGUAAAGGCUUACCAAGACGAUGAUGUGUAGCUGGACUGAGAGGUCGAACAGCCACAUUGGGACUGAGACACGGCCCAAACUCCUACGGGAGGCAGCAGUAAGGAAUUUUUGGCAAUGGAGGAAACUCUGACCGAGCGACGUCGCGUGAACAAUGAAGUACUUCGGUAUGUAAAGUUCUUUUAUUGAAAAAGAAAAAAUAGUGGAAAAACUAUCUUGACAUUAUUCAAUGAAUAAGCCCCGGCUAAUUAUGUGCCAGCAGCCGCGGUAAUACAUAAGGGGCGAGCGUUAUCCGGAAUUAUUGGGCGUAAAGGGUGCGUAGGCGGUUUGAUAAGUCUAUAGUUUAAAUGCAGUGCUUAACGCUGUAGCGCUAUAGAAACUGUCUGACUAGAGUUAGAUAGAGGCAAGCGGAAUUCCAUGUGUAGCGGUAAAAUGCGUAAAUAUAUGGAGGAACACCAGAGGCGUAGGCGGCUUGCUGGGUCUUAACUGACGCUGAGGCACGAAAGCGUGGGGAGCAAACAGGAUUAGAUACCCUGGUAGUCCACGCCGUAAACGAUGAGUACUAAGUGUCGGGUUUCGGCUCGGUACUGAAGUUAACACAUUAAGUACUCCGCCUGAGUAGUACGUACGCAAGUAUGAAACUUAAAGGAAUUGACGGGACCCCGCACAAGCGGUGGAUCAUGUUGUUUAAUUCGAAGAUACACGAAAAACCUUACCAGGUCUUGACAUAAUUUUGCGACAUUAUAGAAAUAUAAUGAAGGUUAUCAGAAUUACAGGUGGUGCAUGGUUGUCGUCAGCUCGUGUCGUGAGAUGUUAGGUUAAGUCCUAAAACGAGCGCAACCCUUGUCGUUAGUUGCGACCACGUAAUGGUGAGCACUUUAGCGAGACUGCCAAUGAAAAAUUGGAGGAAGGUGAGGAUUACGUCAAAUCAUCAUGCCCCUUAUGAUCUGGGCUACAAACGUGAUACAAUGGCUGUUACAAAGAGUAGCUACAACGUGAGUUUUUAGCCAAUCUCAAAAAAACAGUCUCAGUUCGGAUUGAAGUCUGCAACUCGACUUCAUGAAGUUGGAAUCGCUAGUAAUCGCGAAUCAGCAUGUCGCGGUGAAUACGUUCUCGGGGUUUGUACACACCGCCCGUCAAA